GCUCGAGUGGUGGAAUGGUAGACACGCGGGACUUAAAAUCCCGUGACCAUCGCGGUCGUGCGGGUUCGAUUCCCGCCUCGAGUA
rnacentral:tRNA from 1 species